AAAUUGAAGAGUUUGAUCAUGGCUCAGAUUGAACGCUGGCGGCAGGCCUAACACAUGCAAGUCGAACGGUAACAGGAAGAAGCUUGCUUCUUUGCUGACGAGUGGCGGACGGGUGAGUAAUGUCUGGGAAACUGCCUGAUGGAGGGGGAUAACGUACUGGAAACGGUAGCUAAUACCGAC
rnacentral:rRNA from 1 species